rnacentral:siRNA from 1 species
AGGUAACGAUAAAGUGUGAUCGUG